rnacentral:rRNA from 1 species
GAUGAACGCUGGCGGCGUGCCUAAUACAUGCAAGUAGAACGCUGAAGGAAGGAGCUUGCUCUUUCCGGAUGAGUUGCGAACGGGUGAGUAACGCGUAGGUAACCUGCCUGGUAGCGGGGGAUAACUAUUGGAAACGAUAGCUAAUACCGCAUAACAGUAGAUGUUGCAUGAUAUCUACUUAAAAGGUGCAAUUUCACCACUACCAGAUGGACCUGCGUUGUAUUAGCUAGUUGGUGAGGUAACGGCUCACCAAGGCGACGAUACAUAGCCGACCUGAGAGGGUGAUCGGCCAAACUGGGACUGAGACACGGCCCAGACUCCUACGGGAGGCAGCAGUAGGGAAUCUUCGGGAAAGGACGGAAGGCUGAACGAGCAACGCCGCGUGAGUGAAGAAGGUUUUCGGAUCGUAAAGCUCUGUUGUAAGAGAAGAACGAGUGGGAGAGUGGAAAGUUCACACUGUGACGGUAUCUUACCAGAAAGGGACGGCUAACUACGUG